rnacentral:rRNA from 1 species
GACGAACCGUGCGAACGUUGUUCGGAAUCACUGGGCUUAAAGGGCGCGUAGGCGGCAUGCCGAGCCCGGGGUGAAAGCCCCCGGCUCAACCGGGGAAGUGCCUUGGGGACCGGCGUGCUCGAGGGGGGUAGGGGUCGCGGGAACUUCGGGUGGAGCGGUGAAAUGCGUUGAUAUCGGAAGGAACGCCGGCGGCGAAAGCGCGCUGCUGGACCUCUACUGACGCUGAGGCGCGAAAGCCAGGGGAGCAAACGGG